CUCGUCAACGCAUCCGGCAGUGCCGCAGCAACCUUGACGGAGCUCGCCGCUGCUGCUCACUCUUAUCUCCACCGAGUUGGAGUGUAGGAGGUUGCCGCCACCGGGCUGGAUCCAUCUCUCGUUUUUUAUUGAAUCAAAACACACAUCCAGAUUCAUCCCUGGCUUUGCUUGCAGGAGAACCACACUCGCUAGAAGGCCGUUGAUUUGGAUGAAAUUUGGUGUCCUACAUUCUGCUACUUUUGUGCUAUACUUGUUAGCUAAUAUGCUUAGAUUGUUGGAUUCGGAGACAGCGACGGUCGGUCCUGCGUUGCCCCUGUUGUUCGCUUGUUCGAUUCAAUCUACACAAACGCAGACUUUUCUAUACUGUAACUAUGCUUUUCUUUUACAUUAAGGACGGAGGAGACAUAUUUGUCUAGUUGGAUAUGAUCAUCGGAAAGUUGCACACA